AUCCAACUGACGAAUCCCAAAUAAGACGAAAUGCGCAUCCUGGAU
rnacentral:hammerhead_ribozyme from 1 species